rnacentral:rRNA from 1 species
AACUAUAACGGUCCUAAGGUAGCGAAAUUCCUUGUCAGGUAAGUUCUGACCCGCAUGAAAGGCGUAAUGAUUUGGGCACUGUCUCAACAGCCCGCCCGGCGAAAUUGUAGUACCGGUGAAGAUGCCGGUUACCCGCGACAAGACGGAAAGACCCCAUGGAGCUUUACUGUAGCCUAAUAUUGGGUUUCGAUGUUGCAUGCACAGGAUAGAUGGGACUCUUGGAAACCAAGGCUUUGGCUUUGGCGGAGAGGCCGUUGGGAUACCAUCCUUGCGAUAUUGGAAUUCUAACCUGCGGCUCUGAAUCGAGUCGGGGGACAUUGUUAGGUGGGCAGUUUGACUGGGGCGGUCGCCUCCUAAAGAGUAACGGAGGCGUUCAAAGGUUCGCUCAGCUUGAACGGAAAUCAAGCAAAAGAGUGCAAACGCAGAAGCGAGCCUAACUGCGAGACUGACGGGUCGAGCAGUAACGAAAGUUGGAGUUAGUGAUCCGGUGGUAUGUGAGUGGAAAUGCCAUCGCUCAACGGAUAAAAGUUACCCUGGGGAUAACAGGCUGAUCUCCCCCAAGAGUCCACAUCGACGGGGAGGUUUGGCACCUCGAUGUCGGCUCAUCGCAUCCUGGGGCUGUAUUCGGUCCCAAGGGUUUGGCUGUUCGCCAAUUAAAGCGGUACGCGAGCUGGGUUCAGAACGUCGUGAGACAGUUCGGUCCCUAUCUGUCGUGGGCGCAGGAUAUUUGAUGGGAGCUGUCCCUAGUACGAGAGGACCGGGACGGACGUACCUCUGGCGCACCAGUUGUUCCGCCAGGAGCAUAGCUGGGCAACUACGUACGGAUCGGAUAAACGCUGAAAGCAUCUAAGCGUGAAGCCGACCCAAAGAUAAGAUAUCCCAUUGUUUUAAACAAGUAAGACCCCUUGAAGACUACAAGGUCGAUAGGCACGAUGUGUAAGUGGAGCGAUCCAUUCAGCAAGCGUGUACUAAUAGGUCGAGGGCUUGACCAC